AUGGCGUCGUCGAGUCCGCCAUGGUGUCACUGGUCCGAGCUCCCGCGUGACAUCCUAGGCCUCGUCAGCGACGGCCUCCCAUCCGCUGCCGGCCGCCGCCGCGGCAUCUGGUCGGCGGCCUGCUCCUGGCUGCUCUUUUGGUCUGCGUGCUAUUGUCUGCUACGGGCGCUCCUAGGCAGCCUGGCUCGCUUCCGGGCGGCGCGCUCUUCCCACCACCACACGACGGACUCCAUCGAUCACACGGCGGACUUCGGUGCGGUGUACCGUUCCUGGCGCAUGGCGGACUCCGUCGACCGCGCUCGCUUCCGGGCGGCGUACCGUGCCCACUGCAUGGUCGAGGCGGUGUGCCGUUUGUGGCCCGCCGCCGCGAAUGAGCACAUCCCCUGCCUGCCCCGACGCCGGCCGUGGAUUGUUCUCUUGUACCCCUAUUUCAUAACGAGCUCCGGCGACAGCAGCUCGUGCCGCCACCGCUUCCCCUGCUUGUGGAAGAAUACAGCGUGCGUUGGUUCCACCAACGACUGGAUCGCCCUCCGCCGCGUUGUCGUCGGUGAUGUGCAUAGCUACCUCUUGCACAAUCAUUUCUCUGACAUGGCCGACCUGGAUGCUCUUAUUGGCGAUACCUCGAGGAUUUUCAAGGUCCUCAAAGUGCUCAAGGGGCCAGCCGAUCCAUGCCAUUGCCGAGUCUGGCCGAUGUGGUCCGAGCUCCCACCUGACGUACUAGGCCUCGUCAUCGACCGCCUCGCCUCCUCCCUGCCUAGCAGCCUGCCUUACUUCCGAGCGGCGUGCCCUUCUCAUCGCCACUCCAUGGACUCCGUCGACCACACUAUGGACUCUGUCGACCGGGGUCACUUCCAUGCGGCGUACCGUUCAUGGUGCAUGACGGACUCGGUGGACCGUGCUUCCUUCCGGACGGCGUACCGUGCCCACCGCAUGGUUGAGGCGGUGUGUCGUUCCUGGCGCGCUACAGCAUGUGAGCACCUCCCCUGCCCACCCCGACGCCUGCCAUGGAUCCUUCUCACGUACAGCCGUUUCAUGACAAGCUCCGACACCUGCAGCCGCCGCCUCCCCUCCGUACCUGAGAAUGUGAGAUGCAUUGGUUCCACCGACGACUGGAUCACCCUCCAUCGCGUUGUGGUCAACAAUGACCGCAAAAUGCAUAGCUACCUCUUGCACAAUCCUUUCUACGACAUGACUAUGCCGCUCCCCGAGCUAGACGCCAUUAUCGGCAAUAAUGUCUCAGUGAGUUCCGAGAUCCGCAAGGUGCUCAUGCGGUCAACCCCGCAUGACAUCAUCGCUAUUUUGACCAGCAACACAAAUUAUCCGAUCAUCCUGGUCCGGCCAGGGAAGGGCGUGUGGCUGCCAAGGCCACGAUCAGCUCCCUUCAUAUACAUCAUUGACAUUGCCUUCAUCGGAGAUAGGCUUUACGGGAUCACCAAGGCUGAGGACCUCAUCUACCUCGAUAUUGCUUUCGAUGCCAGCGGCAUGCCCACCGUCACUAGAACCAAGCGUGUCAUAAGGCACCCAUUCAAGACCGAUGAUCGUUCUAAAGUGUGGAGCAACGUCGAUCGCUUCCGUGUGUGGGCAUACCCAUCCAAGAUUGAUGAUGGUUAUGACUUGUGGAGUGACGUUGAUGAGAAACAUCACAAAUAUGUUGCCAAGGAUAGUGGCGAUCAAGACCGCGACACUAUAAAUGGAGAGCAUGAUUACGACUGCGUGUGCAAUAUAAUUGAAGAAGGCAUCCAUUAUGCAGAGCUCUCCAUCACUACCUGGCAGAUCGUCGAGUCUCUUGGUAAGUUGCUCAUGGUGAGACGGAAACAGUAUUAUUCUCUACAUAGUGGCAGGUACACCCGCAACGCUGACGUGUUCGAGGCCAAUGUCGCCAUGGGGGCAUGGGUGCCGGUGAAGGAUGGACUAUGUGGCCAAGCACUCUUCAUCAGCAGAUACUGUUGCAAGUCCAUUCAUGCAUCUGGAGAGAUAGAGAAGGAUGCAGUUUAUUUUGCCGACACAGGCGAGGUGCUCGACCUGAGAUCCAAGAUCAUAAGCCAGCCACAGAGGGACCUUUGGUACAGAUGUACAAUGUGGCUUUUCCCCCCGGAGCCAGAUGUCUAUACAAUAUACGAUAGGAUAGGAUAUUAUAAAUUUUAA
rnacentral:rRNA from 1 species